rnacentral:rRNA from 1 species
AACGAACGCUGGCGGCAUGCCUAACACAUGCAAGUCGAACGAGAUCUUCGGGUCUAGUGGCGCACGGGUGCGUAACGCGUGGGAAUCUGCCCUUUGGUUCGGAAUAACAGUUGGAAACGACUGCUAAUACCGGAUGAUGACGAAAGUCCAAAGAUUUAUCGCCGGAGGAUGAGCCCGCGUAGGAUUAGCUAGUUGGUGUGGUAAAGGCGCACCAAGGCGACGAUCCUUAGCUGGUCUGAGAGGAUGAUCAGCCACACGGGGACUGAGACACGGCCCAGACUCCAAGGGGAGGCAGCAGGGGGGAAUAUUGGAAAAUGGGCGAAAGCCUGAUCCAGCAAUGCCGCGUGAGUGAUGAAGGCCUUAGGGUUGUAAAGCUCUUUUACCCGGGAUGAUAAUGACAGUACCGGGAGAAUAAGCUCCGGCUAACUCCGUGCCAGCCGCCGCCGUAA